AUGACGAUUUUAUAGCAAUCAUGACCAAAUUUAAAGCUCGGAAACUUGAUAGGAAUGCUUGCAUUGAAGAGGUCAAGGAACUGCUUAAAGGACAUCGAGACUUGAUUUCGGGUUUCAAUGUAUUCUUGCCAAAAUGUUUGGAGAUCGCUGAUUGGUAUAACUUAGAGGGUAGGUGAUGUAGCUUGUGAUUCAAUAUUUUUCUUCAUUAAUUUGGGAGUUAUGUAUUAGAUUUAGCCAUUAUAGGCUUAUAAAUAAGGUUCUAAGA